rnacentral:rRNA from 1 species
GAAGUUUGAUCCUGGCUCAGAACGAACGCUGGCGGCAGGCCUAACACAUGCAAGUCGAACGGACUCUUCGGAGUUAGUGGCGCACGGGUGCGGAACACGUGGGAACAUACCCUUUGGUAAGGAAUAAUAUCUGGAAACGGAUACUAAUACCUUAUAAUGACUUCGGUCCAAAGAUUUAUCGCCAAAGGAUUGGCCCGCGCAUGAUUAGUUUGUUGGUGAGGUAAUGGCUCACCAAGACUACGAUCAUUAGCUGGUCUGAGAGGACGAUCAGCCACACUGGAACUGAGACACGGUCCAGACUCCUACGGGAGGCAGCAGUGAGGAAUAUUGCACAAUGGACGAAAGUCUGAUGCAGCCAUGCCGCGUGAGUGAAGAAGGCCUUAGGGUUGUAAAGCUCUUUCAAUAGUGAAGAUUAUGACGGUAGCUAUAGAAGAAGCCCCGGCUAAAUUCGUGCCAGCAGCCGCGGUAAUACGAAUGGGGCAAGCGUUGUUCGGAAUAACUGGGCUUAAAGCGUGCGCAGGCGGAUAUGAAAGUCAGAAGUGAAAUCCCAGGGCUCAACCCUGGAACAGCUUUUGAAACUUCAUAUCUAGAAUCCGGUAGAGGUCAAGAGAAUUCCUAGUGUAGAGGUGAAAUUCGCAGAUAUUAGGAGGAAUACCAGUGGCGUAGGCGCUUGACUGGACCGGUAUUGACGCUCAUGUACGAAAGCGUGGGGAGCAAACAGGAUUAGAUACCCUGGUAGUCCACGCCGUAAACGAUGUGUGCUAGCUGUCGGGCUCUUAGAGUUCGGUGGCGGAGCGAAAGUAUUAAGCACACCGCCUGGGGAGUACGGCCGCAAGGUUAAAACUCAAAGGAAUUGACGGGGACCCGCACAAGCGGUGGAGCAUGUUGUUUAAUUCGAAGCAACGCGAAGAACCUUACCCACUCUUGACAUCCUACUUUUGACUUUCAGAGAUGAUCGUCUUCGGUUCGGCCGGGGUAGUGACAGGUGCUGCAUGGCUGUCGUCAGCUCGUGUCGUGAGAUGUUCGGUUAAGUCCGGUAACGAGCGCAACCCUUAUUGUCUGUUGCCAUCAAGUAAUGUUGGGCACUCUGGCAAGACUGCCGGUGAUAAGCCGGAGGAAGGCGGGGACGACGUCAAGUCAUCAUGGCCCUUAUGUGUGGGGCUGGAAACGUGCUACAAUGGUAGUGACAGUGGGCAGCGACCUCGCGAGGGGAAGCUAAUCUCUAAACGCUAUCUCAGUUCGGAUUGUUCUCUGCAACUCGAGAGCAUGAAGUUGGAAUCGCUAGUAAUCGCGCAUCAGCAUGUCGCGGUGAAUACGUUCCCGGGUCUUGUACACACCGCCCGUCACGUCAUGGGAGUUGGCUUUACCCGAAGAUGGUGUGCUAACUACGGAGGCAGCCAGCCACGGUAAGGUCAGCGACUGGCACUAAGUCGUAACAAGGUAGCCGUAGGGGAACCUGCGGCUGGAUCACCUCCUUU